rnacentral:lncRNA from 1 species
GAAUUUAUUUUAAAAAUUAUGUUUCUUUGUCUAAAUAAAUGUUUUAAUAUGUAAAAUUUGUAAUAUUUUAACUUGGUACUAUACCAAGUUGCUAAUGCUAUUAUAACAUUUCAAAUUAAAUAACCUUUGCAUAUUAUGAAAAUUAUUUUUCAUAUUUUUAAAACUAUUUUUUAUUUUUUAAAAAUAUGUUAUUUAACUAAACUGUUAAAUACCGUUAUUACCAGAAAGUCUGAAAAGCUUCAUCAAAAGAAAGGCAAAAGUUAAAAACGCUAACCCGAUAAAGUGUCAACCUUGUAAAGCAACGUCGCGAAUAAUGCGCUUGUUAACUUGCAAAUGUAGCGGUAGAUAAUGCCCUUCCUUGCUACCAUCUUCGGUCAGGUUCGAAGAACCUUUCUUUCGUAAGACACUGCCACCAGUGCCUUUCCCUUGCCGACUGAAUACUCAAGAAUUAUUACGUACACACCUCUCCUUAGCGUGUGGGAGGACAUCUUGCUUAAUGAAGGCGAGACUUCGUUUCAGACGAAGGCACAUGAACUCUCUAUAUCGAGGUACAUGUAAAUACGUCAUUUCCCGGUAGACGUACGUAACAAGCGCGUUAUAUCCAAUGAAAGUGUGGUAACGCAUAUAGUUAAGCAAUAAAUGCAGAUCUCGUUAUAACAAUAACUUCCAUAUAUAAUAAUAUUACUAAUAAUUGUAAUUGAAAAACCGUAUAAACAGUUUAAAAAUAUCUCUCUAAUUUCUAGUCACAUUUAUUCUCUGUAGAUAACACUUUCUAAAAUAUAUCUUACUCUUGUAAAAACAACUUAAAUAUUUUUAAAUCUUGUAUAAUAUCAAACACAGGUUUAUUUAAAAUGACUUUGCUUUUACUUUAUAUUGCUAUUAUACACUUUUUAUUUUGAUUAAAAAUAGGAUUCAUGGUUAUAGUAGAUAUAAAAGUGCAGUAUUAUUUUGACACGAUUAUCGCUGAUGUAGUUGCCCCAGAAAAGAGAGAGAAGUGGUGCAAAAAUAGUAUGUAAUCGCGGAAUCAAUGUUUCUAGUACUCUACACGGUACCAUUAUCUGCAAGUCACGUCAGAAAAACCCAAUAAUUACUCUUCAAGGUAUCCUAAAUUACUACAUGAAAGAGCUUGUUGUUUUAACAUCUGUUAGAUCUAAUUGUCUGAUUUGUUUGUAAUGUCAGUAGUACAUUAGACCAAGACGGUAAAAUAACCUUAAUAUUUAUGUAAAACGCGAACAUUUAAAAAGAUUUAAGUAACAUUGAAAAGAUAUCUUAAAUAUUUAUAUAAUUAAUAAUAGUACACGAUUAUUUCUUGAGUUUUUAAAGAUUUUUACAAAAUACAAAUUUUAUCUCUUUCUUAUGUAUUAUGUAUUUCUUAUGUCACAGUAUUACGUAACAAUUUCUUGAUUUAUUUUAUGCUUAUUAAUAUUAUACAAAUAAUGCCACAAAAUGUCGUCGUUUUCUUCCGUGUUUCAAAUUAUUUUGCCUUGGUCAAGUUAAAUAAAAAAUAUUUCAAUAUUUUAGAGUAGCAUUCUGUUAUUCAUUACGUGGAAAAGAUUAACACAGCUAAAAUUGCUAAAGCGCUUUAAAAGAGCUGAUGUCCAGGAAAAUACUGCAAUGGCGUGCGACCUGGUGGCCUGGUCCCGCCAGGUACGUAUACACUUUUUUCCCCCCCCUGUGUUCCUGCUUUCCAUAUGCAGCUUCGCAUUUGUUGACUUCGUCGCUCACGAACACGAUUGUACGUUCACCGACACACCGGCGCACAAUUCUACCUGCGAUCGAUAGUCUACAAGAGAGCCGAAACGAUUCCCAUCGUAGCGAUAUACAUGCGGGCAACGUGACGUCACAGCGAAAUAAUCUACGUCGCGAAAUCAAAUUCGUCGGUAUAAAGGUCCUCCACUGUCCCCAAAAGAGGACAAGGACAAGCGCACUAAAAUGAGGCGCGAAAGGUCCAUUUCAAUUGGUUUCUCGGACGACAUUUUUUAAAUUUAAUCGUGAAAUAUAUACUAUGAAAAAGCAAUCAUUUUUCAAUUUUAAAUUAUAAUAUUUAAUAUAAGAAUAAUAAUAAAUAGUUAUACAGAGUAUAAUUAUAUACUCGUAUAUUUUAAACAGUCUUGAUAACAAACUAAUGCUAUCGUUAUUUUUAGCGUCAAUUAGUCAAUUUGUCGUCAAAAAUUGUCGACAAACGUCAGCUUGCUACCUGAGUAUAUUAUUUAAAUAAUAAUUUGGAAAAGCGAUGCGGAGGUGAAAAGAAGAAUCACAAUCUGGAAUAUUUUGAUCUGAAAGACGCAGCGGCUUAAAAGAGAAGUUGGCGUCUCGGGGAAAGGAAAGAUGCUCUUUCAAACAGGAAUUAAAAGUACACCAGACGACACCCAGCGAGAGAUCAAGGUCGACAAGAUCAUGAAAAGUUUUUGUGACCAAGGUAAAAACUUAAAAAUCUAAUGAGGAGAAAAAUUUUGAAGAAGAAAAAGAUUGGGAAGAGAUUAUCACUUAAAGAAAUUACCAUGAAGAUUUAAAAUAUUUGGCUAUGUAGCCUUGAUACCGAGCAAAAGAAAACAAAAGAUCGGAUCUACUAAUAUAAGAGGCGCCGCACGCGAAAGAUUGUUACUCCGUCUGACAAUUCCAUGCACCUGAAUUUUGUUUCGCUGAGAUCAGUCGAUCGACUUGGAAAGGUUAAUCACGACCUAUGCGGAAAGUGCGGCAUUAAGGAUGACCUCGGCCUAUGAACUACAACUACACAAAACUAUACGCCUUUGUUAUAUACAUCACAAUUGACGCAUGAAAGAGAAUAUAGUUAACAGCAAUUUUUUAUAACUAGGAUAGUACAUCGAUAGCUAGUGAUCACAUAAUAAAUCGUUUCUUUUUUUCAGAUGCAUUUGUUUCAUCUUUGUUAACUGAAAUGUUGCUGAUACAAUGAGAUAUGUGAUAUAUCAGAUAUGCGUCCUGGAAGACGAACGUAUUUAACUUUUACACUCGACUAUUGAAUUACUCCCAAUUCUUCUAUCGAUAAACUAUCCGUUAGCGCUAAUUUUAGUUAAUUUAGUUUGGCUUCACAUGCAGAAUCUGUAAAGGGAGUAAACCGCUAACCCAGAAUUAAUUAAACUAGUUCAUCGAUGCGGCAUCCCAGUGAUUUGCAAUAUUACACAUUUCCAGCAAAUGUGUAAAACUGAUGCUUUAUUACAUAAGUUUCAAUCGUUUAUUACCUCAUUUUAAUUGAGAUGCGUCAUGUGAAUUAAGAUUUUCACGUCUCUUGGUUAUAAUUAGCUGUAUUCUUUUAGGGGCUACACAGGAAUUGCCGGUUCCCUGAAUUGAUUAAGACACGUUGUUCAAAAUAACUAAUAAAGAUGUUCAGUACGCACGUAUCGUGUGCACGGCAUUGGACAAAGAGUAAAGACUUUCUUCCGUGAUCAUAAAGAGAUGCCUGGCCCAGUGUCGAAAAUCAUUGGGCAGACACGUAAUAUCCGGUCUUGAGUGAUCCUAGCACGUUCGCUUGGCAUUCGCUUUAUGCUCAAGAAACAGUUAUCUUUUUAUAUUGCAGAGAAAGAGAAAGAGAGAUGAAAAAGAGAGCAAGAGAGAAAGAACGCAUUAUCGUGAAACUAACGGAAACUAUAAUUAACACGCUGACUGAGGCUGCCACGAUAAUAAAAGUGCAACAAAAGACAAACUCUUCAAAACUUGACAGUACUGGUUAACCCUCAUAAUACUAGACAUUUUGCGGUAUUAUAUACAAUUUUACUUAUAAGUUUUCGAAAAACUAUUACAUGCUACAAAAACUGACCUUUAUCAAAAUAUAACACACUAUUCUAAGUAAAAUCAGUUUCUUUUUUGAAUUUUAGAAAAGACAAUUUCAAAGAUAUAGAUUUUUAAAUAGCGUAUGGGAUCCCACGGUGUUAUAAGGGUUAAAUAAAUAAAAAUAUAAUAUACCGAGAGAGAGAGAGAGAGAGAGAGAGA